rnacentral:rRNA from 1 species
UACGGAGGGUGCAAGCGUUAUCCGGAAUCACUGGGUUUAAAGGGUGCGUAGGCGGUUUGAUAAGUCAGAGGUGAAAGCUAGCAGCUUAACUGUUAAAUUGCCUUUGAUACUGUCAGACUUGAAUCAGGUUGAGGUAGGCGGAAUGUGACAUGUAGCGGUGAAAUGCAUAGAUAUGUCAUAGAACACCAAUUGCGUAGGCAGCUUGCUGGGCUUGAAUUGACGCUGAGGCACGAAAGCGUGGGGAUCAAACAGG